ACCUCAUCGAUCACAGUUGGCUCAAGAUCAACAAAGACAGCACGUGGGACGUGCUUCCCUGCACCGGUCUCACUGAAGAAGGUGUUGAAAGCAUCGUCACCUCCGCCAACAGUCUUGUCACUCGGCAUCUGGCCAUCAGGCUGUAACAUUCCACAUCCAAGACAACACAUCAAUACAAAGAGACAUAUAAAACGAAAAGAUCUACACAUAUAGAAGCAACGAUGAAAAGAGAAAAUCACAACGAGAUGCUUCAACUAUAUCGCAAAUAUCAAUCGCCAUCUCUUUAAGCAAAUAAAGCAAAGUUUUCCUUCACCCAAUAUUAUAAAACAAAUACGGAUAUGGCAUCAGCAAAAGCAAUCUGACAUGAAAUCCAAUUCAAACACAGAUCUAUCCAGGUUCAUCGAAUAAUUUAGAAAUGAGAAACGGAUUUCGCAUCAACCACAGAAAUUUCAUAAGACGUCGAAAUCAAACACAGAUCUAAACGAUUACGUAAAAUAGAUCUACGAGGUCAAUGCUGCGCAAAAAUAUCUCAGAUUUGAUCUUUUAAAAUACGAAAAAUAUGAAGAAAAACACAGAUCAAGAUAGAAGAGGAAGAGACGA